CACUUAGCAACGCCUUUUGUGCCUAGCGGGCUUCGGUAGGCGGCUCGGCCAAUGGCAGCCCAGCGCAGGGGGGCAGGUAGCGGGAGGGCUUCUCGCAUCCCCCGGGGAAACUUUUCCUUCCCCCGCCCCACGGCCGGGCGAGGGGCGGCGGCGGUCGGGACGGCUCCUGGGGAGACGGGCGGGCGGCGGCCUUGGUCAGGGGCUGCGCAGCGACGAGCGGAGCGGUGCGGGUGUUGCACUGGUGCCGGCGGGCCGAGUCCUGCCCCAUUCCCAUGCCAGGACCCCCGAUAGCAGCGGCGCGCUCCGUGCGGAGCUUUUCGGUCGCUCGUCGUGUCGGCAGAACGAAGCAGAGCAGACUUUUCAAAAUUUUUCCUCUAAGUCAGCUUCUUCAAAAUGGACUACCUCUGGUGAUACAAGCCAACCAUAAGUCUUGAUGAAAUAAGAGAUCUGCAUGUGUCAUGGGAGCAAUGGGAGUUGUGCAGAACCUGUCACCAAGUUCUCAGACUGCUGUGUGGUGUUGUGUCUUACCUCAAGACUGGUGUAGUGCCCGAGUUCGUCUCCAGUUCAAGUUGGGUGAGGAAGUCCAACAAUGGUGUAAGAACUUUCCUCACUGAUGAAGACACCACUUACAUCAGUCUCUAAGCUUUCCUGUGGAACUGUGUAUUUAAUGUUCUUUCUUCUGUGAAUUAAAUGCAAAAAUAGCCAAUUACCAUGGAAUGUCAGUAUCCACUCAGCACUGUUUCCCCAUCCAGCAUCUCGGCUCUUGUUGUGGAUAAUGGAAAGGUAUCAAUCAACUGCCAAGAAAAGCAAAGCAAACUUUCUACAGAGCUCCAUCUCCAGAGAGUCUGAAUUCUGCACAACUUCCAUCUUCCAGCAAAACUCAGAUUAUGAUAAAAUACGACUGUCACUUUGAACAAUUAAGAAAGUUUAUUCAUGUAUUUUUCAAGCAAACAUUUUUAAACUGUCUUUUUCACCACAAGAGAUCUUAUAAAUAUCUGAUGUAUUACCUGCUUUUGAUCAAUUUUGAUUAAAUUAUGAUAAUAAAGAGAUAAAAAACCACA